CAUAAUCUCAGAAAUGUAUAAUCACUAACUUUGAUAAACACUGUAAAGGAAAAAUAAAUGCAAGGAGCUAUGAGAAGGCGAUUCACAUGAGGGUGGUGCUGGGGCAGAGAAAAUGUAAACCAUUUUGAGCCUUUGUCAGAACCAUCAAUGGAAACUUCAAAGUGCCCUUUGUGUGACCAUGGAAAGAUGAUGAGCAGUAAAAGAAGUGCUUGGAGAGAAACUUGCAUUCCCUUAACAGCUUUAAUCACACUACACAGCAUAUGUCAAAAUGUUAAAGAGAACAGAAACUCUUAAUGCUUUGUGCAAUGUAUACAGUUCCUGAGCUUUGAUGUUUCUGUUUCUGCCCCUUUAGUUGUACAGAAUUGCUUGUUUAAAAAAAAUCGUUUGUGUCUCAUUA